AGGAUUUUAUCUUUGUAUUGUAGCUAACGCGUUAAGCACUCCGCCUGGGGACUACGGUCGCAAGACUAAAACUCAAAGGAAUUGACGGGGACCCGCACAAGCGGUGGAGCAUGUGGUUUAAUUCGAUGCUACGCGAAAAACCUUACCACUUUUUGACAUGAAGGUCGUAUCCCUCCUAACAGGGGGAGUCAGUUCGGCUGGACCUUACA
rnacentral:rRNA from 1 species